AGGCCUUUUGGUUGUAAAGCACUUUCAGCGGUGAAGAAGACUCCAUGGUUAAUACCCUUGGACGAUGACGUUACCUGCAGAAUAAGCACCGGCUAACUCUGUGCCAGCAGCCGCGGUAAUACAGAGGGUGCAAGCGUUAAUCGGAAUUACUGGGCGUAAAGCGAGCGUAGGUGGCUUGAUAAGUCAGAUGUGAAAUCCCCGGGCUUAACCUGGGAACGGCAUCUGAUACUGUUAGGCUAGAGUAUGUGAGAGGAAGGUAGAAUUCCAGGUGUAGCGGUGAAAUGCGUAGAGAUCUGGAGGAAUACCGAUGGCGAAGGCAGCCUUCUGGAAUCAUACUGACACUGAGGUGCGAAAGCGUGGGUAGCAAACAGGAUUAGAUACCCUGGUAGUCCACGCCGUAAACGAUGUCUACUAGUCGUUGGUGCCCUUGAGGACUUACUGACGCAGCUAACGCAUUAAGUAGACCGCCUGGGGAGUACGGCCGCAAGGUUAAAACUCAAAUGAAUUGACGGGGGCCCGCACAAGCGGUGGAGCAUGUGGUUUAAUUCGAUGCAACGCGAAGAACCUUACCUGGUCUUGACAUAUCUAGAAUCCUGCAGAGAUGCAGUGAGUGCCUUCGGGAAUUGAUAAUACAGGUGCUGCAUGGCUGUCGUCAGCUCGUGUCGUGAGAUGUUGGGUUAAGUCCCGCAACGAGCGCAACCCUUGUCCUUAGUUACCAGCGGUUUGGCCGGGAACUCUAAGGAUACUGCCAGUGACAAACUGGAGGAAGGCGGGGACGACGUCAAGUCAUCAUGGCCCUUACGACCAGGGCUACACACGUGCUACAAUGGUACGUACAGAGAGCAGCUACCCAGCGAUAUGAUGCGAAUCUCAAAAAGCCUAUCGUAGUCCAGAUUGGAGUCUGCAACUCGACUCCAUGAAGUAGGAAUCGCUAGUAAUCGCGGAUCAAAAUGCCGCGGUGAAUACGUUCCCGGGCCUUGUACACACCGCCCGUCACACCAUGGGAGUUGAUUGCAC
rnacentral:rRNA from 1 species